rnacentral:lncRNA from 10 species
UCUGCCUCAAAGAGCUUACAAUCAAAUAUGUCAGCUCUCAGUCUUUUUGGAGAAGUAGGAAGUAGGAAGAUAAAUCUGAGACUUAAAAAAACACAAAACAUUCAAGAACCUGAUGUCUUAAAAUUGUCCUACGAACAAAAGCUCUCUGAAAGCUCUGGCUUGGAAACUACUCUCAGAAUCCAGCUAACGCUCCAGGGAAGUGGCCUGAGUCAGGGAAGCUAAGUGGUGAAGAGCACAGGCUGGUAGUCCUGCGAUUGAAGCCAGAAUGACCAGCUGUGUAACCAAAGGCAAGGUGCUGAACCUUUCUCUGCCUCAAUUCUCUCAUCUGCAAAAUGGGAAAUAAUAAUGAUCCCAACCUCAGAGAACUGAACAAGAUAAUACAUGAAGGUGCAUAUCAAAGAGUCUCACAUGCUCUGCUGGGUCACACAAAAGUUGGGAAGAGAAGGAUGUCAAUUAGACUACAUCAAAAUCUGGGCAGAGGGAGGACAAAGAGCUGCCUAAAGAAACUGGUAGCUGGAGCAAACUGCAGAGAUCAAGAUGACCCUAGUCAACGGAACCAGCAGCCCAGGAACACCAGCUCUACCAGCACCAGUGAAUAAGAAUCACAACCUGGAUGGGCUCCAAGUCCAACUUCACCACAUUCAGAUAUGGGAUUCAGAAAAGUUUCACCGGAGCCCGACUCACAUUCUAUCAUGUGGAAAGCGCUCUGCUGAGGAGCCCUGUUCCUCUAAGAUACGCAUGUGACAGGCAGGGUGUAGGAAGUGUGCCCAGAAUAGCCAGAGAACUUAUUUCUAAGAGAAUUGAUCCUAAAGAAGAAAUUUCUAAAUUGUCAAAAAUGUAUACCAAGGAGGUUCACCAGUGUUGUUGAUAAUCAGAA